CAUGGUUACUUGAUUUCAUUUUGAUAGUGAGUCUUCCAGGGUAAGAACAAAUUAUGCUUUUAAAUCUAUUCACAUCUUCUUUCUUGUAACUUCACAGAAUCUAACAAUUAACAUAAUAUAAUCUUGAACAUUUCUUGUUAUUUCUACAUAUGAUAGCUACUAUUUAAACAGGGUCUUUUCCAACUGAUUUUGUUUGUAUGCAGGAUAUUUAUUUAGUUAGUUUAUUUAUUUGCAAUGUAGCCUCACUCUGGCCCAGUCUGGAGUGCAGUUGCAUGGUAAUGUUGCUAUUUCUAAGAAACUGCCAAGCUUUUUGCCUGAGUGGCUGUAUUAGCUUCAUUCCUUCCAGCAUUGUGUGCAUAACGCAGGCUUUCCGUAUGUUGCCAGCACUUGCACUGUGACUAUGUUUAGUCACUUUGACAGGAAUGACGGGUGAUUUGUGUUCAGUUUGUUCUCUUUGUGGAUCUUAAAACAAUCAGCUUUUUAAUUAUUUUGGGUUUUAUUAAGUAAAUAUGCAUUUAAUAUGUAGACUGUGAUGUUUUGACGUACACAUACAUGUGAAAUGUUUAAACUGAUUAAUUUCUGUCACCUCACAUAGUUACCUCUUGAUUGUUGUCAUUGUGAUAAUACCUAAGAUCUAUUCUCUUAGUAAUUUCAAAUAAACAAAUAUAUUAUUAUUAACUGUGGUCACCAGGCUUGAUAUGAGGUCUCCAACACUUAUUUAUCUUUUCAUUUAAACUUAUACUCUGUGACCUCCCCAUUUCCUCCACCUCUGGGCCACUAGUAAUCACCCUUUUACUCUCUGUUUCCAUGAGUUCAGCUUUGUUAGAGCCCACAGGUAAGAGGGAUCAUGUAGAAUUUGUCUUUCUGUGUCAGGCUUAUUUUAUUUAGCAUAAUGCCCUCCAGAUUCAUCCAUGUCAUCAAAAAUGACAGGAUUUUCUUCUUUCUAAAGACUGAAAAAUUCUCUCCCUCUCACCCCACCACGUGUGUACGUGUGUGUGCUCCUGUUUGUUUAUUCAUCUGUCAGUGGACACUUGCUUUCUUUUUGCAUCUUGGCUAUUGGGGAUAAUGUGACAGUGAACACGGAAUGCACAUAUCUCUUUGAAAUAGUGAUUCUUCCCUCCUUUGAAUAUAUAUCCAGGAAUGGGAUGGCUGGAUAAUAUAGUAAUUCUGUUUUUAAGGAACCUCCAAACUGUUUUUCAUAGUGGCUAUGCCCAUUUAUAGUUGCCACAGUAGUGUAUAAGGUUACCUUUUCUCCAUAUCCUCAGCAAUACUUUUGUUUUUUUCUUGGUAGUAGCCGCCCUAACAGAUGGGACGUGAUAUCUCAUUGUGGUUUUCAUUUUCAUUGCUUUGGCAUUAGUAAUGUUGAGCAUUUUUUCAUAUCCCGUUGGUCAUUUGUAUUAUCUUUUUUGGAAAAACGUCUAUUCAAGAUCUUUGUCCAGUUUUAGACCAGGUUAUUUAUUUUUGUGCUAAGGAGUCAUCUGAGUUUCUUACAUAUUUUUGAUAUAACCACUUAUUUUGU
rnacentral:lncRNA from 1 species